CAGAGGGAGGGUCGUGCAGCCCUUGGGUCAGGCCAGCGCCACCCAACAAUGGGUGGGCUCACCUUGCCAGCCGUCUCCAGGGUGACUGCUGGUUCUCUGUGCUUUCCCCAGUUUUGGCCUGAGCGGCUGUUGGUCCUGCCUCGCUCCACCAGGGCGGGGGGGGAGGCCUGGGCCAGGCCGCAGCCCAGGAGGUAUCUGAGUUUUGGCUUCCAGGCCAAGUGUGCCCAGGAAUUCCAGCGCACCUGCCUGCGGGGAGCUAGGCCGCGUCCUCACUGUCCUCCCGGCUCCAUCAGCUGUCACCGGCGAACAGAGACACUGGAUCCACGCGGGACACAACGUUAUUUACCCAGUCAUAUGCCAAAAGCUUGGUGA
rnacentral:lncRNA from 1 species